UACAGAGGUCUCAAGCGUUGUUCGGAUUCAUUGGGCGUAAAGGGCGCGUAGGCAGCGGGGCAAGUCGGGUGUGAAAUCUCAGGGCUCAACCCUGAAACUGCACUCGAUACUGCUCUGCUUGAGGACUGGAGAGGAGACUGGAAUUCACGGUGUAGCAGUGAAAUGCGUAGAUAUCGUGAGGAAGACCAGUGGCGAAGGCGGGUCUCUGGACAGUUCCUGACGCUGAGGCGCGAAGGCCAGGGGAGCAAACGGG
rnacentral:rRNA from 1 species